AAGCUGCCCAAGCAGAGCAUUGGAUGGUGCUCCUGCAGAGGGGAAUAUGUCCCCUGUUGGCCUCUCGGCAUCCUCGCCUGCAUUCCAUGGGCUCCAUUCAGGAAACCUGGCAAAGAGAAGGGGAGAGGAGGGUCUGGAGGUGCUGUAAUGCAGGAGUGAUUUUCUGCACUCUGAGGUGUCCUAACACCCAGCUCCAUCUGAUACUGCUGCUGCAUCCAUUUAAAUCCCCCUCGUGUUUGCUGCUCUCAGGACCUGAAAAUAGAAGUGGGAACUGCUUUGUCUGACAGAUGAAGGGCAGGAAUCAAACAAUACAAAUACAUGGGUGGUUAUUCAGAGGGUUAAAUAAAACACAAAUAGAAUGCCUGCUUUCAUGCCUUUUUAUUUUAUUUUAUUUUAUUUGCAAAGCCUGGAUUGUCUCUUUGAUUCGCUCAUUCUGUGCAACUCCCAUUGCCUUCAAACAAGCUUUUAGGAUGCCUUUAAUCCAGCCCCAAACAACCAUCAAUCAUCAGUCACUACCUGAGCAGGGAUUUUUAGUACAGGAAAUGGCAAAGAAUUUAUCUCAUCUGAAGAAUCACUUUCACCUGUUGUACUCAUGCUGAAAUCCUUAAAGCCUCUGGCAGUUCAGUUUCCGUCCUGACUUUCUGCUGUUAUUUCCAACCCACAGCCAAUCCUACACACACCAGCAUGGUCCCAGCCCACGGCUGCUUGCAGGCUCCCUGUCCCACAGCAGGCUGUGCUCACACAUCGAUGAAACCCCACUGCAGGCACUCUGCUCCCCCUGCUAUGACCUCUCCCUGCUACUGAUGGAUAUGCAGCAUCUUUCCAUCCCGUCUGAUCUCCCCUGGUUGAAGGGAUGCUGCCAGAGGUGCUGGGUCCCCCUGGAAGCAACUCAGCAAGCUCAGCUGGAGCUUCUUCCAGGAGACUUUGUUGAGCUGCACCCUCAGCUGAAUUUAAUAAGAACUGCCUUUAGCAGGCCCUAUAGUCAGGAAGGGCACCCACCCUCCUGCAAGUUUGGGAUGUAUGCAGAAUGUCUGCACAGGGAGACAGGCAGGGCUGCCAGCUGCACCACGAGUGCUCUCAGGAGAACCCACCAGCUGACGCACGGUCUUAUCUCUAAGCUGGGCACUUGCGGGGGUGGGGGCUGCGCCCCGAGAAGACUGGUGGGUAAGGCUGCCAGCUCCUCUGGGCUGAGCAUGGAAGGGUGAGGGGAUGCGGGGCCGGACAGAGCGAUAGCAGAAGGGCGGCUGGGUGAGCGGAGGGUCCCGGCUGCGUGGCCGGGGCU